rnacentral:lncRNA from 1 species
UGACUUUAACAUAACAUUUCCUCUUUCUCAUUGCUCUCCCUCCAUUUUCUCUCUUUCCCACCCUCCUCCUUUAUUCUUUUUCUUUUUCUUUUUUCACCUUAUUUUGUUACCUACCCAUUUGUAUACUAUUGGUAUAAUUUACUACACAUUUUACAAAAACUUCUUCUCCAAUAUAAAAUCCCUACUUACCCAAAACUACCCAAAGUUACAUAUUUAGGUUCACAUCCCAAUAUAUAUAUAUAUAUAUAUAUUUUUACAAU